UAGAAUUAAGACAGAUGGAUGGCUGAGAUUCACUGAUGCUUGUGUGAAUCCAGCUCAGAGCUAACGGUCAUGUAGUACAUGCCGUGUGAGCUCAUUUUUACUUACAUAGAGAAUAUACAAAAGCCUUGCUCACAGAUCUUGUGAGCAAGCAGAGCAGUUAUUCAAUAGCAUUCUUCAUUUUCUUUUUUUUCUCUCUAAACAGAACUAUAUACCAAAAUCCAGGUUGAACAGCAAAACACUAACAGGAUUGUUGUUCUACCAACCUUGCACCUGCAGAGGCCAUAUAUAAUCAUGUAUGUAAUUGCUUCUGUAUUUCACACAGAGGAGAUAAUAUGUAAAGUCAGAGAAAGACUAAUUUGAAUUAGCCAGCAACAGCUUUAGAAAAAGAACACAAAUUAUAUUGAAGCUUACCACAUUGCAGAUUGGAGAUAUUCCUGAAUUUGACAAACUGGUCAUAAAGAAAUAACAUUCUGGGCAGUUGACAUCAUGCAUAUACCACAUUUGUCUCCCUGCAAUCUGCCAUAAUUAUAUUAAACCAUAAUGUAUGCAUAAAUUUCAUGUGACAAUACUUUGCAAAGUAUUGAAUAAAAUAAAAAAAUUAGCCAAUGAGAACAGAUGAUGAUAUAUCGUCCAACCCAACUUCGAAUCGAAUUUCCAAAUUUUACUACCAUGUCAUAUACUUCUUUACAAGAUAGAUUCCUCAUCCCAGACGUGAUUUCUGAUUUCUCUCAUUUCAAGGCAAAACAAAUGUGCAAGACUAAAUGCCAAAAGUCCCAAAAAUUAGAAACACCACCAGAGAUUAUGCAGCUAUAUAUCCAUGGUGAUGACAAUCAGGAACACAUUAAAGUUUAUAAGCCGACUAAGAAAACAUGGAAUACUCAGCCCAACAAAAAAAUUCAUAUUCAUAAUCAAAACAAAGCACCUGCAUCAAACUCUCUUUUUUCAGACCUUUCAUUGAACACUUGGGGGCACCAUUUUAAGGUAGAUCCAGACCAUCAGUUGAACACCUGUUAUCUGCCAGACAUGACUCUAUUGUAAUGGAAAAAAUCAAAAGUAAAACAAUAAUGAAACAGGGAAAAGAAAUUGGAGCAAAAUAUCUUUCAAAGAAAAAACUACAAUAUAAUUUCACAAAAAUUACCCCAAUUUCUAUAUAAAUCCGAACAUAUUUUUGGGACUUACAAUUGAAUAGCGAAAUAAUAUAACCUAAUUCAAUUUCCAAAUAAGCCUAAACUACAAUGCCAAGUUG
rnacentral:lncRNA from 1 species